rnacentral:rRNA from 1 species
AGUCGAGCGAUGAACACCUUCGGGUGUGAAUUAGCGGCGAACGGGUGAGGAACACGUGAGAAAUCUGCCUUCACACUGGGAUAACUCCGGGAAACCGGGGCUAAUACCGGAUAUGAAAUCUGCGGGCAUCCGCGGAUUUGGAAAGUUUUUCGGUUGAAGAUGAUCUCGCGGCCUAUCAGCUUGUUGGUGAGGUAAUGGCUCACCAAGGCGACGACGGGUAGCCGGCCUGAGAGGGCGACCGGCCACACUGGGACUGAGACACGGCCCAGACUCCUACGGGAGGCAGCAGUGGGGAAUAUUGGGCAAUGGAGAAAACUCUGACCCAGCGACGCCGCGUGAGGGAUGAAGGCCUUCGGGUUGUAAACCUCUUUCAGUAGGGAAGAAGCGAAAGUGACGGUACCUACAGAAGAAGCACCGGCUAACUAUGUGCCAGCAGCCGCGGUAAUACAUAGGGUGCAAGCGUUGUCCGGAAUUAUUGGGCGUAAAGAGCUCGUAGGUGGUUCGAUACGUCGGAUGUGAAAAUCAGGGGCUCAACCCCUGACCUGCAUCCGAUACGGUCGAGCUGGAGUUUGGUAGGGGAGACUGGAAUUCCUGGUGUAGCGGUGGAAUGCGCAGAUAUCAGGAGGAACACCGAUGGCGAAGGCAGGUCUCUGGGCCAAUACUGACACUGAGGAGCGAAAGCGUGNGGAGCGAACAGGAUUAGAUACCCUGGUAGUCCACGCCGUAAACGAUGGGCGCUAGUUGUGCGGACCCUCCACGGGUUGUGCGACGCAGCUAACGCAUUAAGCGCCCCGCCUGGGGAGUACGAUCGCAAGAUUAAAACUC